GACGAACGCUGGCGGCGUGCCUAAUACAUGCAAGUAGAACGCUGAAGGAGGAGCUUGCUUCUCUGGAUGAGUUGCGAACGGGUGAGUAACGCGUAGGUAACCUGCCUGGUAGCGGGGGAUAACUAUUGGAAACGAUAGCUAAUACCGCAUAAUAGUAGAUGUUGCAUGACAUUUGCUUAAAAGGUGCAAUUGCAUCACUACCAGAUGGACCUGCGUUGUAUUAGCUAGUUGGUGAGGUAACGGCUCACCAAGGCGACGAUACAUAGCCGACCUGAGAGGGUGAUCGGCCAAACUGGGACUGAGACACGGCCCAGACUCCUACGGGAGGCAGCAGUAGGGAAUCUUCGGCAAUGGACGGAAGUCUGACCGAGCAACGCCGCGUGAGUGAAGAAGGUUUUCGGAUCGUAAAGCUCUGUUGUAAGAGAAGAACGAGUGUGAGAAUGGAAAGUUCACACUGUGACGGUAUCUUACCAGAAAGAGACGGCUAACUACGUG
rnacentral:rRNA from 1 species